rnacentral:lncRNA from 1 species
CAGACUGGCUGACGACGGCGCGCAGGUCCGCGUUGAGGUGCCGGUUCUAUGGUGGACAGGGGCAAGCUCUAGUCGAACGGUUCCAUGGAGCGCCCGAACGGCGACGAACACAGAAAUCCGUGGCGGCGGUGAUUUCUCCCCCAGCGGCGGCCCUUUUCACUCGGUGAUGAGCUUCGACCCUCUCUGCGCUCAGCGAUAUGGCUAGCCCCGCGAGGAUCACCAGACGGAUGAGGGGGGUUCCCGAUGGCCCGCGAUUUAUACCCAGGCGGUAAGUCCGAGGGGGAUGGAGGUAGGGGCGAGAUCCUCGGCCGGAAUCGCGCAACAGAACAGAGUCUGUUGGGGUGUUUCGUAAUGGCAGGUAGAUGGAGCACCUGGCGCCUGGGCCUAUGAUGCCAGUGACAGGGCACAGUGCAGGCGCGUGGCACUGCAGUCUGGGUAAUGGGACCCAUGCAUCAGUGACACGCAAUCAGGGACCUGUUCACGGUGAACAAAAGGAAUAGAAGCGCAGGAGACUGGGCCAGAACGUGGAUUCGUCACAGGUAGAUACGAGAAUACGAGAUACAUGGCUGAACCAGUAAGGAUCCCACACGUCAUUGGGUCAAGGAUGACAUCAGCCACGAUGUCAUGGUGACAUCAUCGAAUAAAGAAUGAUUUUCUCAGCGGCUAGAGAAGUAAAAAGAAAAAUAAAAUAAAAAGGAAGCGUGGGCUACACUUAACACUAGAGCUGGACCGAGCGGCAACGGCACAAGUAAGUCUUCUUUUCUUUUUCCUUUUUAUUCUUUGUUUCUUUUUUUUUAGUCUUUAGUUUUCUGUUUUAAAUUUCAGUCUGCAAAGCCUAAUUUCAACCAAGGUUAAAAAGAUGCACAAGCAAUAAACUCCAGCAUGAAAUGCAUGUUUCAUUUUAUGUAUAUUCAUAUUAAUCAUUCUUUUUUUUAAUUAUGCAAAUUUCUUUAAAGGUGCACUUUAUUUAUUUUUAGGAGAAAGAUUGUUUUGAUGGUCACGAUUAAAAGCUAAUUUAAAAUAAAUACCCAUUUUUACUUUUUUAGUUAUUCCAUUUCUUUGAAUAAAUACUAAUACAUAAUCCAUGAAUAAAACAAUUCAUAAUCAAUUGAAAAUCUUUAUGUUUAUUUAUUUAUGAACUUCAUAAUUCUAAUUCUAGUUUCAAAAUAAAAUCUAGCUUUGACUAAUCAAAGUAAAAUAUAAUUCUAUCAAUUAUUUAUUUUGAGAAAAUGAUUAUAAAAAUAAAAAUCCUUAUUAAAAGAUAUUUUUAAUCCAAAUACUUUGAAGAACUCCUCUAAUCACCAAAACACUGCUUUGGGGUUUUACAAAUUCUACCCCCCUUAAAAAUAAUCUCGUCCUCGAGAUUUGUGAGAAAAGGGACAGAGAAGGAUUGAUCAACUGUUAGUCUAUAAUUGGUUCAAAAAUUCAAGGUCUCAUUUUUUUAGUUAAUAGUGGGUGAUUAGGAGAGCAUAUGUAUCCAGCUACUUAUUAUGUGGAAUAAGAGAUGGAUGGGUUAGGGCAGGGCAUAGUAGGGUAAGGAAGGACUCCAUCCCGGAUUGUGGAUCUUGACUCAUCUUGGUGAUCUAGCUUGAUCUUUGAAGGCUUGAGUUGGGGCUGAAGACCAUAUUUGGCUUGACUCUUAUCCUUCCUUAACGCGGUUGAUCCUUUCUUCCUCGAGCUUUGGUGUCUUCAUCCGGGUUUGUGACAAGAUGGGUAGAGGGUUCAAUAGCUAUAUGCUAGAUGGAAUUAGUUGUGUAACCUGUUUUGUAGGUCAAGUUGUUGGGUAGGGUCGAGUUGAUCUAAGAUCACAAAUUUGUUUAAAGGAGCAGGGUCUAAUGUAUUCCACCAGGAUUGACUAUCUUGUUAGGUAACUCAUUUUAGAUUGGAUUAUAGUAGAUUAGAUGGAGUCUAGAUUAGAUCGAUAUCACUAGAUUAGAUUAAACAAUAUCUAAUUACUUUGGAUUAAAUCAUGGUUGUUACACUAGUGUGGGGUAAAAUGCUUAUUAGGGCAAGAUGAAUCCAUAGGGAUAAGGUAGAAUCUUUUGAGGUCAGUCAGAUAAGAUAAAAUCUUUUCAAGAUAAGAUGAGUCUACUAAGGUAAUGAAGUAUCUUUCAAGAUAAGAUGGAUCUACUAAGCUUAAUAUAUUUUAGUGGGGAAUAAUCUAAGUUGGCUAGUUAUUUUUAUUAACAUUUUUCUAUAUAUAUAUAUAUAUACAAAUGUAAUUGUGGACGUUACUCCACAACUCAUCACACUCAAUCAAAGAACCAAAUCAGACAAGUAUCAUAAGAACAAACAUUCAAGUUUAUAGAUAUCAAAAAAAUAGUUUUGUUUCUGUUCCUAAGAUUAGGUCUCCUAUUUCUAAAAGUCACUUUAGGCACAAGAUUUCAAAGUGUGAAAUCCACAUUUGUCUUUAGAAUGAGAAAGAUAAGAAUAAUCAGAGUAAAGCGGAAAUAGAUGAGAAAAGAUUAAGAAAAGUUUAGAAAGAAUCAGAGUAAGGUAAGUAUAGAAUGAAUCAGAGCAAGAUAAGUAGGUAAGGGUUUGUCCAUUUCUAUCUAGGUUUCGUCCUACAGUCAACAUUUCCUCUGAUACCACUUCUGUCACACCCGGGUUUGAGGGGUCCAAAGCCCGGGCGCGAACAUAAACACCAGGUGUGCUGGGACCAAGUCUCACACAUAUGAUGCAUAGUGGCACAGGAUCGAAUGUCACAUCUUUACUAUAUAACAGGAGUUCUAUACAAAAUAAUUAAAUAAUUACAUCAUAUGAGGAAACGAUCCAGCAACCCAAAGUUGACUGGGAGACGACGACCUAGACCUCUCACGAACACAUCGCAGCAUCCUCCAUGCGCCUCAUCCUGUGGUACCUGUUCUUGACCUGUGGGGGGGGUGUGAGACAGCAAGAGUGAGCUCACAUACGUUCAUCGCUCAGCAAGUUGUGGGGAAUAAUGUACAUGAACUCGCCAAAGGUGGGAGCUCACGUGAAGUGUAAGGCUUACCAAAGAGGAUGGUUAGAGCUGAGCAUUGCUUUUAAAGUUGGUCAAAAUUUUAUUAGCAAUUACUAAGUAUAAGUAAAUACCAACCCAAUUAAGUAGUAGAACAAAAGUAACAACCUCACCUGCGAUGCAAUGCAUAUGACAAAUUGAGUUUAAGUUCCAUAAUUUAAUCAUGUGAGUGUCCGAGCCGCUCAUGACCGUGAGCACGGCUAGUAUACCAGUUUUACACUCUGCAGAGGUUGCGCAUCUUUACCCACAAGUCAUGUUACCCAUCUGCCAAGGGAUCGCGACUUCCCAUACACCUCUACCGAGGAGGCGAGGCAGGGUAACACUACGAGGCCUUUACAAAGUUCCACUAGCUUCAGAAAACCCGCUACAGUUUAUAGGAAGCUCCAAUGCAGGAAUCCCUUGCAGGACCGCCAUCACAGCAAAAUCCUCCCGAGGGCCUCCCCAGGAAUCCCUUGCAGGACCGCCAUCACAGCAAAAUCCUCCCGAGGGCCUUCCCAGGAAUCCCUUGCAGGACCGCCAUCACAGCAAAAUCCUCCCGAGGGCCUCCCUACACUGACCACUCCCCUACUGCCCUUGCCCCUUUCGGGUAAGGUAGUCUUCCACUAGCUUUCCUAAUUAAUCGGCCAAGGGCGUCCCAUUAAACCCUUGUGGUAGCACUGUUUUCCCGGGUGGUUCUCCAUGUUCCAAUUAACAUAAUGAUCUUAUCAUGAACAGUGAUAAUAAACAGAUAAUAAAAGUGUAAUCAUAAUUAAUGUAUCUUCAUACCCAAAACCACAUAAAGCACUAGCAAGUACUACCCAAAAAGUUCAGUGGUAAACAAGGUAUAAAGAUAGUCAAGACUAGGGUAACCUAUUAGGUCCCAUCAAAAUUAACCUAUGCAGAUCAUUAUGAUUAAUUAGAACAUGAGUGGGUAAAAAGAAGUGAUCAAGGGCACAACUUGCCUGGCACUUGAGAUUCCAGUUACCAGGGUGAUUCUUCAGAUCCUCGUGACCUCACUGCUAGUCGUAGCAAUACAAACAAACAUGGUAUAGACAAAAUUAACAUCACACCAACCAUAAGUACUAACUUAAUAAUAAUAAUCUACACGUUGCUACGAGAUCGUGGGUUUGAGAACUAUUAAAAUCGGAGUUAAAACGAAUUAGGGGUAAAACAAUAUUUCUAGGCGCAAUAAAUCUAAUAGAUGUUGCACCUAAAUUAGGCAUGUAUUAAGUUAAAAUAUUUGAGUUGAUAUUAAUCAAUUUAACAAUUAUUUAUAAUAAGCGUAUGUUACAACUAUAAAUUGGAUUAACUAGAUUGCCUAGCUAACUAGCAUUAAUUAAACAAUUAAUUAAUUAACUUAAUUAUUUAAAACAUGUGGUAUAAUUAAAAUAAUGUUAUUACUACGUACGCAAAAAUUAAUAUGAACCUAACAUAACUUGAACAAAUUAUUUGACCUAAAAGAUAUCACAUUUUUUUAUAAAUUGGUAGAGCUACACAGAAAUAUGUGAUAUGAUGGUGGGAAAUUAAUCACCGAAGUUGUCGCUAAAUUUGUGGAGGAAAUCAAAUUUCGACAAGAUGGCCAUAGUGGUUUAUGGUUGCGAGCCUAGCUAGCGUGGAUCGCUGAUAUUGGCGGCUGCCCACCAUGCAUACGGCGGUGCUGGUCAACCGCCCCCGCAUAGCGUGAGCUGCACCCUACGAUGCUCUCUAUUUCCCAUCUCUAUGCUUACGGGUGAACGACGACUCCUCAUGUUUUAGCUGGCUCCUAUCAUUGGCUAUGGUCUAGGGAUGGUCGAGGCUCACGACUAUAUAUAUAUAUCCGGGGACCGAAUCCUAGCGUGGGAGAUUGUUCGGUUAAGAUUUGUUGCCAAGAAAUUCCCAACGAACUCGCUUAAUUCUGUUUUGAUUACCGGGAGAAUGAAGAAACUAGCGCUGCGGUCUCACAUGUCACCCAGAGCAGCCACAAAUAAUCCCUCGCAUCCCAUAACUAAUAAAAAAAAUUUCCACCAAGCCACGUGUGUGUGGGUUCCCUUUUUUUUCCUCAACAGCCCCAUGUACGACUUGUUCUUUUUUUUUUCAGGUUCUUCGUGCAAGCAGUUGCUUUCUCCCUCCGUCUUUCUUCUACCUCCGAUCAAUGAGCAGCCAUGGUUGGGGGAGAAGGGAAGAGGGGUCGGCCAGGAUGCUCGACCACACAGGCCAGCCCUGCACAGGGUGGGGCUGCGCCGGAGGGGGGGCUGGGUUGCCGGGGAGCCGGGCGCUAGACAUGCGAGCAGGGGGCACAUCGGAGCAGCGGAGCUGCGGCGGCGCGCAAUCAGCAGGCUGCGGGCGACACACAAGCUCCACUGUUUUGUAGCCAUAGCGUACGUUGCAAAACUGUGCAGAGAAACAAAGAGGGAAGGAGAUCUCACCUUCAAUGAAGCAGACUGGCUGACGACGGCGCGCAGGUCCGCGUUGAGGUGCCGGUUCUAUGGUGGACAGGGGCAAGCUCUAGUCGAACGGUUCCAUGGAGCGCCCGAACGGCGACGAACACAGAAAUCCGUGGCGGCGGUGAUUUCUCCCCCAGCGGCGGCCCUUUUCACUCGGUGAUGAGCUUCGACCCUCUCUGCGCUCAGCGAUAUGGCUAGCCCCGCG